rnacentral:rRNA from 1 species
AUUGAACGCUGGCGGCAGGCCUAACACAUGCAAGUCGAGCGGAUGACGGGAGCUUGCUCCUUGAUUCAGCGGCGGACGGGUGAGUAAUGCCUAGGAAUCUGCCUGGUAGUGGGGGACAACGUUUCGAAAGGAACGCUAAUACCGCAUACGUCCUACGGGAGAAAGCAGGGGACCUUCGGGCCUUGCGCUAUCAGAUGAGCCUAGGUCGGAUUAGCUAGUUGGUGGGGUAAUGGCUCACCAAGGCGACGAGCCGUAACUGGUCUGAGAGGAUGAUCAGUCACACUGGCACGGAGACACGGUCCAGACUCCUACGGGAGGCAGCAGUGGGGAAUAUUGGACAAUGGGCGAAAGCCUGAUCCAGCCAUGCCGCGUGGGUGAAGAAGGUCUUCGGAUUGUAAAGCACUUUAAGUUGGGAGGAAGGGCAGUAAGCUAAUACCUUGCUGUUUUGACGGUACCGACAGAAUAAGCACCGGCUAACUCUGUGCCAGCCGCCGCUGUAA